rnacentral:lncRNA from 1 species
AACAAAGGUUAUACGGUUCCUGCAAGGUCCUAAAGCAAAUGGGAUUUGAGCCGUGGCCCCCAACUCCUAAGCGCAUGCUCUCUGAACCACGUUACGCACUACACGUCGUACAUGAUACGCCCCCUGUCUGUCCCAUCCGACCGUCCAUCUUCGCCAGAUUCACCAGUCUCCUGAAAGACAUGGCAAUACGUACGUUUCAGAAAUAAGCACAUAUCAGAAGGAAAUCCCAGGAUGAGUGCAGCCCCCGGAUGUGCAGAGAGCAGGCAGCACGAUGCGGCAGUGCACAGAGACGCUCUUCACAGCGGCCCUGACUUUGCUGGGGAGGCAGUUUUUCACCUCCACUUCGUUCCCAAUCACGACAACAACGACAUCAUGGUGCAGAAGGCCUGGUUUGGCUCCAUACCGCGUGGACUCUCCUUUUCAACACACAGCAGGCCUCCAGCUCAGUACCUUUUUUGCGUAGCCACCAGAAAAUUUGAAAUUAUGUAUGUGGCUCACAUUCUACAUCUGUGGGACUUUGCUGGUCUAUGAGAUGGGGACAGUUAAGUUUCCAGUCCCAGCAUGUCUAUCAAAGAUGCUGUGUGUCCUUGAGUAUGGCGCUUUCACAUCCAGCCCUAACUGACCUCACAGGGAUGGAAUAGAGAGGAUCAAACCAUGCAAUUUUCCUUCUGUGGAAACUCCAGUAUUCGUGAGCAUAACACGGCCCAGGGCCUCACUCUGCCUCUCCCGUCUCAGAAUAUGUCCACGGAGGCUGAAAUGUUACCUCAUCCUGGACUCACCAAAAAGUGGUUUGUACCAGAUCUAGAAGCUGGACCUUUGCACCCGGAUGUCCCCAGGUCUCAGGACACUCAUUUGUCAGACUUUAUGUGCAAAGGAGCUGGAGACGUCAUCUCUCUCAUCAUCGUGGGCCCCGAGGUUCCUCACGAUGGGUCUCGUUGUUAAGCUUUCCUCACCCAGAUUAUUGAGUAUUAUUCAUCAAACACAAUUGCUUUGGACUCCACCAGUUAGGAUUCUUACAGGGUACAGAAAAAACAACUCAAA